rnacentral:lncRNA from 1 species
GGCGAUGCUUGCAGGUGCAGUGUUUCUCAUACCCCGUAUUCUUCCUCUUAGAUUCUGGCAUUUGGGUGUAGAGGUACAAGGCUGCUGAGACAGAAGAAUUCUGCUGGAUAUCAGGAUGAGAGGAAGAAUUUGCUAAAAAAGAUGCCGGCACCUACAGCGGUCUCAUGGAGUGCCACAAAGCAAAGCCUCACCAUGCUUGUGGGAUUCAGAACCACAGUUGGAAGGGGACUAUGGCCUCUCAGUCAUAGGCAGGACCUAAAUGCAGCUGCUUGCUGAAGUGGCAGCUUCCAGGAGGAUGUGAGGCCAACAGGCUCCUGGAAAAACGGUCUGGGGAGGUGGGAGCCUUGGUGCCUUUCUUGUCAUAAAGUUUUUGAACACUGA